CUCCCCGAUCCCAACCUCCCCGAUCCAGCGCCUCCCCCUGGGGCAACCGCUGCCGCCCCUGGCUCGGCCGCCGCCGCCCAACCCCGCACCCCGUCUCCACCGGCCAACCCCGCCGCCCAACCCAGCGCCCCGCCUCCACCGGCCAACCCCGCGCGCCGCCGCCCCCGCAAACCCUGGGCGCCUCUACCUCCUACUGGAUCCCACCGGCGGAGCUAGCCGCGGCAGCCCCGGCAGUCCUCCGCUCGCCGCCGCCCUGGAGAUGAGCACGACACCGCCACCCCGAGGAACCUCCGAAAGCUGCGCAGCGACGUUGCUCCCCUGCCCAGUGCCCACCGCCUUUUCCUCCAUGCAUGCCAUCCUUCCUCGCCGGAGCCGAUGCGGGCCGCGGCCUCACCACGCCGCCCGGGAUCCCACACACGCGCCGUCCUGGCCGACCACAUUGACCUUCUCACAAGGGCAACCUUGACCUUCUCGAGGAAGGUUCAUCCAUGGAGCAGCCGCUCCCACCCCUCCACACCCGGGUCGUGCCUGGCUCGCCGCACACCUUUGCCCGUUGUCACCAGUACGCUGCGACCGCAUGGCUGACGGGGCUAUCGCCUGUGCAUCACGUCCGGGCUGGUAGUGGAGAUCGUGGACUAGGGCGCGAAUUGGAGCAGGGCGAGCACCGUCAACCACCUCGAUCCCCAUGUACAACAUCGUGGUGGCAGUUCUAGUUCUUCUACUCCCGUUCUUCUACUACAGCAAGACGCACACCUUCGCGAUGCACAUCCGUCGCGGCGACUCACUGUCCAGCAACAGGUCGCCAAGGUGUGUAUUGCGCUGCUCAUUCAAUAAAUCGUGAUGUGCAGUGCCGCUGGGUACGUCAUGCCUCUUCCUUGCCUGCUCACUGUCCCCCAUGCUGGAGCCAGCGGCUCCUUGUCCUAUCUCUCAACUAGAGCAGAAUCUAUACACAAGUAUCCUGAAUCAUAUAGUGGUUGAUUGAUUUUCCGUGGCGUGUUGGUGAUGUUCAGAGUUUUGAAGGAAUAAUUGGAAAAAAAUCCUCCAAUUUUUCUGUUUUUCACUUGUUCUGAUUUGUUGCUCUGUACAUGUUUUGGUGAUAUUCCUACAAGCACUAGCUAUUUCUUCAGGACUAAGGUGUACGAGGACUCAAGUAAUUUAUAUUUUGGGAUGGUUGGAGGCGACGCCCCAAGGAACACAAGGGAGGGCAGAGUGCAUAUGGAACUUGGAGGAAUACAUACGGCUACCGGCAGUAACGCAGGCAAGUUAUAUAUAUAUAUAUACUGAUUCAAUAUGAACAACUGGACGGGCAUGGUAUACCUGAGGGCAUGUACAAUGAUGACAUAUGGAUACAUAUGCCCUAUGAGAAAAAAUAAUUUGAGGCAUCUACAUUAACUUUUUUCCUCCAAUGCAAGCUAUCACUAGUGGGCCUCAUUAAGAAAUAGAAAAUAAAGAGUCUAGUACACAUGCAUCUCUACUUUUCACUCAACCUUUUCAGUUUUUGACACCGGACCACACUUUUUCUGUUUAACCACCCGCCUCUUGAAGAGGAUCCCGCUUCCCUAUCCGAACCUACUUUACGUUAUAUCCGAUCUUACAUGGCAUGCGAGGCAUCAUCUUAAAGCUAUACAUUGUACAUGCCCUGAAUGAGAAAUUAUACAUAUCGGGAGAGCUAAUUUAAUUAGGGACCAUGCUCUUUGUACGAGUUUUCAUGGUAACUUGUAGCCGUCGCUUCACAACCUCGGUAGCUGUUAAAAAGAAUUUGGCUCAACUGUUUCUCCUGUGCAAAAUAUUGAUGGCUUUUACUUGAGAUUAUUUAUGUACAAAUGGCAUGCAAUUAACAUAUAGAGGCAGGGAGGUGCCCAACUGCUCUGGUUUCUUCAGUCUCCCGGUAUACAGUCUUGUCGUUUCGACACAUGUUGUUAGCACGCAAGUAGUAGUAGUAUGCGAGCACCCAGUUGUUCCUCCUAACAGGGAUGGAUGGAUGGGCUGCGAUGUACAGAGCAAAAUUAGUAAGAACUAUGGUCAAGACAAGCUUCAGUGCCCCAACAGUAAGCGCGAUGCUUGAAAAAGUAAAGUCUCAAGUGUGGAUUGUCCAGCUCAUAUAUUUACGGAUGCACAUAACUUGCCACAUAACUCUUGCAAAUGACGGGGCACUAAAAACAAGUCAUUAAUCAGUAGCGGCUGGCAUCUCAUAAGUACGAAUAUUACAGAGGAAAUUGUGUAUUUUAUGUCUUCAUCAUGCAUCCUAACUCUAUAGUUCAACAAGCUCAGGAGAACAUUUUGAGCCAUGUUCAGUUAGCCGCUAGCAUGGUAAUAAAACCAGUUGUGCAUUUAGUUGUCAGUGCUAGAAAAUGGGGCACACAAUAUUAAAGGUGCAAAAGAUCCUGGCUUCAUGUAAUUGAACGCAGGCAAUCAACUAAAAACUAGAAAGUUCGUAAUGAAGUUCAACGACUUCCACCUAGAAAGUUGUUUGUUAGAAUUGUCAAUCAACUAAAAAAGUUGUUUGUUAGUCGUUGGCAACUAAUUGAACGUAGGCAAUCAACUUCAUGUUAUCUAAGUAUUUUUAGUACUUGCUAUUGCAGAUAAGUGUUUGUUAGAAUUGUCAUUCUGUCAGUAAAGUACCAUUCUUCGGUGUAUGUUCUGAAAAUUUCAUCUUUUGUGUGCCUGGUGUGAAUCGUUGGUCUUCUCUCACUUUUGCUCUUGAAUUAGAGGUAGCAUGUUGAUUUUCACACUUGAUGAAAAACAUAUCCUAAAAUGUGAAAAUUUUUGUUCCCCAAUGAAUAAUUUAUUGUUCAUAAAGAUCUAUUUUCUUCCAGAGUGAUGAAUUUUUGCUCCUAAACAAAGAACUUUAUGUUCCUAAAUGAGGAGGUAGUAUAGGGAACUACAUGUACGUGUUUUUCCGAAAACUUUCUUAAACCAUUUUUGAUGAAGUACAGGGAACUUCAUGUACGUGUUACUCCCAAAACGAUAUGAAACUUUGUGUGUACAAAUUUUUAAUAUACCAUAUUGAUUGAGAACUAACAAUGGCAUCCUUUUUUAAUAAUCUAGAAGUUCAACGACUUCCACCUAGAAAGUUCAAAAGACAUUGUGUUUUAGGGAGAACGCAUCCUGCCUAGAAGAUGCAUAUGGAAUAAAAUGUAAAUUCGCAAUGAAGUUCAUAUAUAAAAAAGUUGAAGUUCGCAUACAGAAAAAAGGUGCAUUUUUGAAAAACAAGGUACAUGUUUUCUAGUUCCAGAUGCUUAUAUGAUCGUCCUAUGACACUGAAAUCUUUUUCAUUUUAGGUGAGCCAAAUUUUUGUGUGGAUGUGUUGUGCAUGUGCUUGUGCGUAGUACACUGAAUAGAACAAAAGAAAACUAUUAUGAGUACCCUCUAAAUGUUUGUCCUAUUGCUUAUGAUAAUUAACCCAAAUUUCCCUAUUGUUUUUGCACAUGUUGGAUUCAGGGGAAAAUGUGUAUAAAAAGGUGUGAUUUCAAAAGUUCAGCUGUAACGAACAUCGAAGUUCAAACCAAAAAAUGUAAACAGAAAAAAUCCUGGAAUUCAAAGAAUAAAAACUAUGGAGUCUCAUGAAAAAACAUUAAUAUCACGCGAAGUUCAUGUUUCAGAAAUUUCGAAGUUCACGUGUACCACGUACAAAAGAAAAAUGAUCAAAUGAAAAAAUUGACCGCCUAGGCCAUUUCAUCGAAAAGCAAAAAAAGCAUAAAAUGUCACGACAAAAUUCUAUAAGAGGUUCAAAUUUAAAAACUGAAGCAGGUCAACUUUAAAAAAAUGAAGUUUUUAAUAUCUAAAAGACAAAUUUGGAAGUUCAAAAAAUUUGAGCAAGAAGUUAAAAAAAGUAGUUCAAAAAUCUUUAUAAUGGAUUUUCCCCAUUUGUAAAAAAAUCAGAGAAGUUCAAAUUAAAAAGAGGAGCAUUUCAAAAAGAUUGUAUAAAAACUGAUUUCCCCCAUGUAUUAUAUAAUUAAGACAGAAGUCAAACAAGCCAUCACGCUAAUCCACAUAGGCUAAUUAAUCAACACCAUUAAUAUUAGAUAACAACAGCUGGGAUUUAAAAGACACAAAGUUACGUAUAACUUUUGUGAGGUACAAAUAAUAAUAGACAUGUCACGCCUGCAUAUAUCUUUUCAUCAAAAGACCUCCGAGAGAACCACAAAGAAGUAAGACACCAAGACACAAUUAACCAUAUAUAAAAUGCCACGUGCACCCAGAUCAACCAAAAGAACUCUAGACGUGUUGAGCAUGGACUCAACGUGCACCCGCUUCCAAAUCUCCAACGCAACCAAAAGAAGUCCAGACAUGUUGAACAUGGACUCAACAAAAAAUACUCCAAAAGUAUUUGGCCAGCUCAAGCACGCAUAAAAAGACCACCCGGACACCACCAGCACACACGUACUCUGCCAAGACAUGCAUACAUAAAAAUACAAAAAUACACCCAGCCGGACACAUCUCAAAAUCGAAGCCAGCCCAAUCUUCUCCUUGACCAAUCAAAGUCUACUGAUUCUACGACACAACAGAAUCGGUGAAAACUGCAACAUGCUAGACAUCUCGUUGCUUGACGGACAACCACCCUUUUGAGUUGCCUCUCACCUCAAUCAUAAAGGUGCAUAGUCACUAUUCUGCAUACAAUCUUCAUAGGUAAUUAUUAAUUGGUUAACAAUUUCCUGAUCUUCUUACAACAAAACCACUAUGGCAUACAAAAAGCUUAGCUACUUAAUAACAGGAAGAGAAAAUCCUAUAGCCAAUGAGCUUAUGAGCCUCGAUAUGAUCUUCAUAUAUGAGAAGGUUAAUUCUUUGCAUAUUUAAUUGUAGAUUGUUCUAUUAAAACAACAAUUAACAAGUAUUUUUUUACAUGGUCAAACAAUUCAUGCUACUAUCUGGAAGAAUUUGAUAGACACAAAUAGAUUAAAGAUAAAUAAGAAAUCUAUUUUUGCAUAUAAGAACUUAGAAGUUGUGGAAUCGAUGAAGUAUCACGGAGUGAGCAGUAAAAAAUUUAAUUGGACAUCCACCAUUUCGGUUAGCAUUAACCUUUUCUGCAUGUACUCUUUAGGGAUGAUAAAAUCAGAGUUAUGCUAUGGGAAGUUCACAUAUAAUUAAAAAGGAUGUGAUCAGUAACAAAAUUGUCCUUAUUGUACCCUCAAUAGUAGUGCAGAAGUUCAAAGUUCUACGACAGGAACACUAUGGCCUACAGGAAGCUUACAUACUUUAUAACAAGAGGACAAAACUUGAGCAUUCAAUUGAAAGUAAUGAGAAUGUGAUAAUCAAUCUUACAAACAAUGAGCUUAUGAUCCUUGGUAUGAUCUUGAUGGAUGAAAAGGGCCAAGCAAUUCAUUCUACCAUGUGGAAGAAUUAGAUCAAACAAGAAAGAACUCGCAACCUUCAUAUUUCAGCCAGAUUGAAAUUCUAAUGCAAACCCAUUCCUAAAUUCGGACUUCUAACACCGCGUUUAACAUUACCAUCUUAUGCCCUUAAGGGGUCAUAAAAUUAGAGUUACUAUUAUGGGGAAAGCGUGCUUAUUUUAUGAAUGAGGAUGUAAUCGACAACCAAAGUGUUGUUAUUGUGACGUCAAUAGUCGUUCAAAAGUUAAACGGCAAGUCCAAUAAUGCCACAAGCUCAUUUUUUUCACAAUAAAAAAAACUCUAAUAGAUUUCUCACAUCAAAUAGGGUGGUGCCUAAAGUCAACCAGUGCCACACGAAUAUAUACAGAUCCAUAUGUACAUUAAACUCGGGAAGUUCUUCACAGGUGUGGAACGUUAUCUAUUACGUAUUAUUUAUCAACUAAUGAAUCAUAACUCAUGUCUAUUCAUGAAAUAAUUAUUAUACUUCUCACUCCAUAUGUGCAGGCACUCAACACAAGAAAUUUUACCAAAAAUGAUUGAGAUAGAUACAAGUAUGGAUGGAGCACUACAAAAAAUUUACAUUAAAAGAACUUACUAGAAUGAGGUGCGGAAGGUAGACAAAUCAGGUAAUGCAUGAGACUUCUUUAUGAUAUCACCGCUUUUGAAGGAAAACAAGACUACUAUAAGACCUACAAAGACGAUCGAGACAUAUUAGUUAUAAUACAACCACAUUUGAGUUAUUUAUGUCUCUCAAUUUAUUCAGAAUCCUUUAAAGAUUUUGUGUUCUCUUUUUAGGAUUUUGUGGUCACAUCAAUAGCUGCAAUAGAGAUGUUAUGAGAAAUAUCAAGUGAUGGUAUAUGUCGUCUGAUGAUAAGGAAACUGACAAGUACAAUGGUACAUAUCCAGAAAUUGUAACACCUCCGUGUUCAUAUUAUACUAAUUUGAACAUGAUCGUUCCUAUUAUCCUA